UGAUCCCAUGCCGAACUCAGAAGUGAAACGCCGUAGCGCCGAUGGUAGUGUGGGGUCUCCCCAUGUGAGAGUAGGGAACUGCCAGGCA
rnacentral:rRNA from 1 species